AUACUUGCAGCAAAAAAAGCUUAUCUGGGUGCCUGACCCAGCAGAGAAACUGGUGCUAAUGGGGGCAGGAAAACAAAACCCCAGCUUGUCUGUGUUUUAUCUCUAACCUCUUUCACUUAGCUGGAGAAGAGAGAACUCCCUGGUGAGUUUUCUGCACCAUCCCAGUAAAUUAUGGUGGGACAAAGGCCUGAGCUUGUUUUCCUUGAGCAGAUGAGCCACAGGAACAUCUUCUCCCCCUGUCAGUGGUCCAGAGGUUCCCUUAGGAUGCCUGGUGCCAUCCCAGGCAGAGCAGCUGUGCUGGGAAAGGCUGAGGGUGGCUGUGCUGCUCUGGAUCUCGGGCUUUAAAUCAACGUGAGAGAUGCCAGGAUGUGGCUCCUUGUGAUCUGGGAAUUAUAAACCAGUCAUUUCAAUCCCAUGAUGAGAACUGAGAUAAACAGGCAGGGAGUAACCAAGGCAUGUCCCCCAGAGCAGUGUCAGACACACCAUGUAAGGGAAAUGAGAGGGAAAGAGCUUUGUUCCAGCCCAAGGCUUAUCCUAAAGUUGUUCCAGCCCUCAGCUUGAGGCACUGGCAGGAGGAAACUCAGCCUUGCAGCCUGUUUCACUCCAUUCUGCCUGCAAAAUAAUCCUGCAGCUUCACUGCCCUACCAGAGUGUGCCAGGCCUUUGGGAGAUGCCAAGGUAACUUUAUGAAGCAGCUCCCAUGUAUGCCCAAGCUCAAUAAAUAUUCCUGUUAACUGCACUGGAUUCUGCUUUGUCCUGAAGAGGGUAAACAGCUGAACCAGACUGAAAAAAAAACCAACAAAAACAAAACACUCUGAAUUUUCUUGCUUAGAGAUCUGAAUUUUAGAAGCAGAUGUACCAUAUCUGAAUUAUAUCUGAAUUUCUGGGGGGCCUCCAAGCAAUCAGACCAUGACAGUACCACAGAGCAAGUGAAGGGGAGCUGGGCAUGCUUGUCAGUCAGCUCUGCUUUAUUCACCCUCACUCUGAUUAUCCAUCCUGCUUUUUCUCCACUUUUAAAGGACAAAAGGUAAAUUUAGGGUGAAUUAAGGUAUGGAGAAAAUGCUUUUGGGUUGUGGUGUUUUUUAUUCUAUUUUUUUUUUUUUUAUUUUUUAAUUUUAAUGCCAGUCUUGCUUUUAAAGUAUAGAAAAUACUGCAUGGUCUCCUGUGAAGCCAGUUUACACUAAAGUGAAUAUUGCAAAUAUUCAAUUAGGAGACCAGUCAAGUAUGUGGGAUUAAGUUGUUUAUAUAAAUGUUUGCAGAACCAGAGUGUGAGUUCACAGGGAGCUUUGGUUUCCCAGAUGAUCCAUAAAAAGGGUCAAACACAGUAUACUGAUAAAUGUAGUAAACUUGCAAAAAACCAAAAAGCCAGCCAGCCUCAAUCCAGUCCUGACUGGAGCUUCCAGUACCAAUUCCCAGUUGUUUAUCAAUGUUGAGUUGGAGGCUGAUGAGUUUGCAGGAUGUGUAAUUUAAAAACAAUUUCAGGCCCUUCCCUGGGCACCACUGCACAUCUCCACACGUCCAUGUGCAGUUGGGAGCUAAAAGCAGAUUCUGCUUUAAGUAAACAAAGAGCUCCCACUGAUUACCCAAAAGCAGCUCUGGUGUGAGCAAGGGUGGAAAAGGCCUCAUGGAAUGAGGUUUGAAGAUACAGGGUAGCAUCAUUCCCUGGAAUUAUCUGCAUUUGCUCCUCUUUGUUUCUGCUUCUGGUACCAAAUUCCUGAGAGAAGCUAAAGAAAAGUCUUGGUGUUCCAACCCCGGGUAGAGAGAGGAGAAAAUUAACUCCUGUUUUGACGAGGAGUAAAUGCCUUCUCAGCUCCAGCUUGAAUUUUGGUGAGCCCUGACAGGACUGGCUAAAUCUGGGUAAAAGCCAAAAAGAGGAGAUAUUUAAUACAAUUCUAUUUCUAAAAUAUCAAUUUCUAAAAUAUAAAAUAAAAUAUAGUGGUGUCAUUUUUUGCAAUAUAUUUUUACAGGCUCUCAGGAAAUAAGAGAAGAAGGAAGGACUCCAGUGUUCCAGGAGUGUUGGGUGCCUGGUUCCCUGCUUUCUGUGCUGGUCAGGACAGGGAGACAUCAGCAAGAAAUCAGGAAUUUACCCAACCCCAGUGGGCCAGAAGCAGGAGUGACUUCCAGACCAGAUAGAUUAAAAAUCAUUCCCAUCUGACGUCCAGGAAAAGGUCAGGAGUUCCAGCAGUGGUGGAGCAGCUCCCAGCUUGCGUGAAGAGAGAGAAGAAGAGAAUGAAGAAGAAAAGAAAGAAGAAAUAAUGUGUAGGAGCUGCUGUUCAGAACAUCAGGACUCUAUGAUGUGUGUUUCUUUCAGCACAAACUUUAACACUCAGAACUCUUUGCCUUUGAGACUGAUGUGUUCAUGCAAUAAACAAGUUUGAGAUCCUUGCUGAAGCCUUCCUCUAGGAUUUGCACCGAAUGCCUGGGAUGUGUUUGUAGCCUCACUUUGACAUCUUUGAUGUCUUACUGCAGAAACUGGCUGUGAAGGGAUUUGUGACUUAUCAGUAAAUAGUCUGGCACGCUUCAUUUGACACUGACUGUGUACCUCAGUGCCAGAAAAUCAUGAUAUCACAUAUUAUGAGGCUCUCAGAAAGAAAAACAUGGCUAAAACAUGGCUAAGAGGUGAGCAUCUCUUUCUUCUUUAGAGUGAAGAUUCUUCAUUGUUGAGAACAAGUGAAUUUCCUUCCAAAUGAAUUGGAUACUCACCUUUAUUUUACCAUUGUGGACUUGAUUUUCUGAACCUGAGAGAGUUUCAGGCUCUCAGUGGCUGAUCUUCUUUCCCAAGGGAAAGUAUUUUGGGAAACUUUCCUCUCUCAAGGACUGUUGUGUAAGAUUUUAGUUCUCAAAACGAUGACACAGACAUUCUGAGGGUGUUUUUGUCUUGUCCCACCAGUGGGAUGAGAGAGAUGUUGCUCCUUGUACCAAAAAGGUCAACCUGUAUUGGAACACCUUAUAAAAAGGGUUGAAAACCCUGAAAUAAAUGCUUUGCCUCCUGAGAAAUAAAAUUUCAGCUGCUGUGAUACGAA